CUUACAAGGAUGUACAUCCUGUAAACUCACAGGAGAACAACCUAAGAUUUGGUCCUGAAAUAUAAGAGUCUGGGAACAUCUUCAACAGGUAACCACACUACGGACACAUUCUUUGACUGAAAUGCACAUCCUAGGCUAUCUAGAAUCAUGGAUCUGAGCCUAGAUGUUAGAGGAGUUUUAUCCAACUUAGCAACAGUUCUAAUAUACAGAGACAGUGACAGAAUACAACAGCAAGAAUGGCUACCUGUGGAAACAUUACUUCCUAGAACAGAUCAGCAACAUGACACUCCAGGUACUCCAGAAACUAUGAGUGCUAACUGGCUGCACUGCAUUGCUUUGCCUGUGAAUUAGAACUGCUGGGUGCAAAGAUGUGAGCAAUCAAUUCUA